rnacentral:rRNA from 1 species
UGGGGAAUAUUGGACAAUGGGCGAAAGCCUGAUCCAGCCAUGCCGCGUGAGUGACGAAGGCCUUAGGGUUGUAAAGCUCUUUUGGCGGGGAAGAUAAUGACGGUACCCGCAGAAUAAGCUCCGGCUAACUUCGUGCCAGCAGCCGCGGUAAUACGAAGGGAGCUAGCGUUGUUCGGAAUCACUGGGCGUAAAGCGCACGUAGGCGGAUUUGUCAGUCAGGGGUGAAAUCCCGGGGCUCAACCUCGGAACUGCCCUUGAUACAGCAAGUCUUGAGUUCGAGAGAGGUGGGUGGAAUUCCUAGUGUAGAGGUGAAAUUCGUAGAUAUUAGGAAGAACACCGGUGGCGAAGGCGGCCCACUGGCUCGAUACUGACGCUGAGGUGCGAAAGCGUGGGGAGCAAACAGGAUUAGAUACCCAAGUAGUCCCUGAGCGGGCUGGCAAGGCGCAU